UACGAAGGGGGCUAGCGUUGUUCGGAAUCACUGGGCGUAAAGCGCACGUAGGCGGAUUGUUAAGUCGGAGGUGAAAUCCCAGGGCUCAACCCUGGAACUGCCUUCGAUACUGGCUAUCUCGAGUCCGGGAGAGGUGAGUGGAACUGCGAGUGUAGAGGUGAAAUUCGUAGAUAUUCGCAAGAACACCAGUGGCGAAGGCGGCUCACUGGCCCGGUACUGACGCUGAGGUGCGAAAGCGUGGGGAGCAAACAGG
rnacentral:rRNA from 1 species